UUGCACCCAUUUCCACUCUCAGCACCAAAGUUCAACUCAGUACCCUCAUAGGACCUGCAAAAACCACACCAGCUCUCAAUUUUUUGUACAAUCAAGAAUCUAACUUCGAUUUGGCUGCGUAAAUAGAAUUUCUCCGAACUUGAUUAGGGUCUCAAAUUCAAACUCAAAAUGAUUGUGAUUCUUACAUCUUAGGAGGUGCAACUCCUGCGAUGAGAGUCUCAGUUCUGGUGUUCUCUGAGAUGUCAGGGUACAUGCCACAGCUGCAAGAAUUCAAGAAGAUGAGGGAAGAAAGAUUAAAGAGAAACUCUUAGGAAGUUUGUUUGGUGCAUGAGAAACAAUUUUCCAAGAAAAAGAAACUCUUACCCGUUGCAGCCGCUGCCGCACUUGCAUCCAGAGCCACAGCCACAGUUUCCUCCGCAGCAAGACAUUUUCUUUAGGGAUUUGGAAGAGGCUUAUCACUUGACAAUUGAAUUCUUCAACUAUAGGAUGAUUCAUAAGGCCCUUGCCUCAGCUCGAAUUUAUCGCGCGGUUGGAGCUGAAAGUCUUUCAUAUCCACCAUACACGUGGAAACAUCUAACGUCAGUAACGUCUGUGUGGCAGGUUCUAUCUCCCCUAGGUAAGAACCGACAAAUCUCUCUCUCUUUGUCUCUCUAACCUUUCUUUCUUUGUCAUCACAAAUCAUAAUAUUUGAAAUAUAUUAAUUAUCUUGCUUAUGACGUGUACGAUAAUUGGUUAGUUUUUUUAUUAAAUCAAUUAAUUGGCUUCUUCUAAACAAAAUCUUAACACCUCUAGUGUUUGAACAAAAUAAAAAAAAUGAUUUCUUUUAUAAUUUUUAAUUUAUAUUAAUAUGCUUGGUAACCCUUCAAAUUGAAUAGAUAAUAUAAUUAAACCGAAUCGAACAUUUAGAAAUAAAAUUAACAACAAAUAGAAAUUAAUUUAGGGUCAAGGAAUUAAUGCUUACUAAAAAAGAAGUAUUACUUGUUUUAAAAAAAAAAGGGUAUUAUUUUUUUCCAGUAGACAAAGUUGUCUGAAUCACAGAGAAAAGGAUGCAAUUAUUUUCUACAAGGAUUAUUAUCACUUUCAUGGAAGAAAUCAAGAGAACAAGUUAAAUUGAAGCCGACAAUUAGAAUAUAUUAUUAUUUUUGGUAACGUAGAACCAUUUUAAAAAUAAGUAAAUACUUUUUCAAUUGAAAUAAGAAAAAAAUAAAAAUAUGUAUGAAGGAUGUAAACGUCAGCUAGAUAUUAAGGCAUGAAUCUUGCAGCUUUGUACAUUAGCAAUUCACUCGCUUGAAUGUAUCAUUUCAUCUUUAACAUUGGCUUUUUAUAAUUCUGGGAUAUAGAUCCUUUUUUUUAAAUUAAAUAUAAAGAAUGCAAAUUAUUACCUUUUUUUUCUAGUUAAUCAUGUUAUGUUGUUUUUAUUUAUUUGAAUGUAAUGAAAAGCAUGCAGUUCUAAACUAGAAUGAAACAAUAGAAUUUUUGACAAGGAAAGUGGGAGAGAGUUACCCUACCCUACUGCUACAAAGAAAGAAGGAUAAAAUCAUAAUGAAAUGGGCAGAGAAUAAGAGGCUUUUGCUUUGGGAAUCCUUCACUUUUGUAGCAAAAAGAGUGGUGCAUGUGAUAUAGCUUUGGUGCUUCAGUUGCAGUGCUAUUUUCUUCAAUCAGAUACCCUGUCUUUAUAUCUAUGUCUAUGUAUAUAUUUUUUUACAAAAAAACUGCCUUUUUCUUCCCAAGCCCAAUGCACUUUUCUUAUCUUCUUUUAUUUGUUUAACAUUUAGGACCUUCAGUUCCUUUUCAGAAGAUCUGUUUCGGCAUUUUGCGACUUGUGCAUGCUGCAGCUGCGGGGGUCCUAAAUGUCUUAAAUGAGCUAAAGACAUGCUUAGAAGCUAAAACUACAACUAUUAGUAGAGCUACAGCCUAAUUUUCAUGGACAGUACACAACUCCACUUUGGUGGGCAUUGAAUUUCCUGUAUCCUUUGAAUGUGUGAAUUCUUCUCUUCCUAACUUCAACAUCUUGUCUACCUUCCUUUUUUUUUCCCUCGUCAAUGAGGGGAUUAUUUUAUUUACUAGCUAUUUAUUGCGUGUUCCCACUAGCUUCAUAAUUCAUCAUUAUUUUGAUCCUCAAAUUCAAAAAGUACCUGUAUUGAAGUAUGAAGAUAGAAGAUAGGAUCUUCCAUAUCUGGGUACAAGCUCCAUCGUUUAGAUAAGGGACUCAUGACAAAACCCACUAUUGUUGAUUUUUCUGCCGCAUUUGUUUUAUGCAAUUCACAUGCAUCAUGCAUGCCCAUCUGAUUUUGGACCACAUACCAGGACAAAAAGAAGUGCAUGAUAGGAAUAGUAGCUCAAGAGAGCUGCCACCAUUGAAUUGGGUCUUUACUCUCACCCAUGGGAAUAUUUAUGAAUGACCUACAUAUAAUGAUUGUGACGAGAGAGGGAGUUUAUCUUUAAAAUAGGACCAUGAUAGUCAACAAAAUAGUGAAUGAGCUUCAUGCUUGAGGUCCUAAGGUAUUAAAAUCCCACUGAUUUUUUUUUUCUAAGACAUUUGAAUCCCAUUUCAUGCAUUAGUGGGGCAUUCUAUCUACUGUCAGGUCUGAUGCUGCUGAGAAGGUUUGGCCGGUAAGAAGCUUAAGAUUAGAUAGAUGUUAUGCUGACGUGCAUAUCAGAUUUCCAUGAUUGAGAUGCGGGAAAUGGGUUGAAAGGACACAGGACUCAAAUGCGGACAACCGGUGGUAGUAGGUAACUCCAACAAGAUUGAUCUCAAUUAGAUAUUAUGGGGCCAGCAGUUAAAUAAAUCAUACAAAGAAACAUGUCAGUUACAUCUGAAAUUUCUAAAAUUCUUGACAAGGAGCACCCAUUGCCGAGGCACCUUCAAUAGCCAACUGCUUGUCCUGCAAUUCCUGCACAAGCUUAGUUUUCAAGGUGCCCCAGGUGCCAUAUGAAACUCGAUAUGCUGGGCAUAAAUUUUUUGUAAAACCUAUCAUAAACAGAACUAGUAUUCCUAUCAAAUUUGUCAUGAACAGUCGAUUUUAACUAAACCAAGUCUCUGCAAUUUCACACUAUCCAUAAGCAUCCUAAGACCAGCUUUUAGUUCUGGUACCCCUUCCUCCAAGACGGCACAAACUGGAUAUAUAGGAACAUCUUGAACUCUUCUUUUCAAUUCUUCAUAUACUUCAUCAGCCCCUGCCUCAUCAAUUUUAUUCGCCACAACUAAGGAGGGCCGAUCAGACAGGCCCUCUUGAUGAUGCUCAAGCUCCAAAACUAAAUCUUUCAAUUGUUCCCACGGUGGAAAUCCCUUUCUGCCAUCUAAUCCAGCAGCCAAGUCUAGCACAUAAGCUAAAACCUUAGUACGUUCAAUGUGCCGUAGGAAAGCAUGUCCAAGUCCACGAUUCUCGUGAGCACCUUUUAUGAGUCCUGGAAUGUCAGCCACUGUGAUUGAGAAGUCAUCAAAAUUCAGUUUUCCUAAAUUUGGCCUAAGUGUCGUGAAGGCAUAAUGACCCACCCUAGGUUUUGCUCUGGAUAAAGCUCCUAAAAGAGUACUUUUACCAGCAUUUGGCAUUCCAACGAGGCCCACAUCAGCAAUGCUUUUCAGUUCCAGCAAAAGAACAGCCUCUGAGCCAGGCAACCCAAUGCUAAGGCAGGAUUGAUCCUCACUGACAUAUCAGGAUCCAAGACCAUAUCCCUAUUGACUCCAGGCUUACUUAACUUGGCCUUCUUUGAAACAUCAGGAGAAGACACAUUACCCAAACCACCCUCCCCUCCACGAGCAACAAUUAUUUGCUGACCCAGUUUUGUUAACUCUGCAACAUCAUAGUGUAUAUGUUCCACACCUGCUGGCUCUCUUUGAAUGGCUUGUAUGCUUGCAAAUUCCUCUGAAGUUCCUUUAGCUUGUGUUAAUGAGCCACCAGAAAUAUCCGAUGGCUCAGCUUCUUUUUCCAUGUUUGUGCUCUUAGAGACAGACUGCCAGUGAGAUUCUGAUUGAUCAGUAUGGAGAGUGCCUGGAAGUUCCCACGGGUCCAAGUCUGUUUUGGAACAGUUUUGGACUGUAGAUGGAAGUUCACCCUUCAAAAGAUGAAUUACAGUCCCGAUAGGUACUUGCACAACCUACUACACACGAGUACUCAUGGUUAGAUAAACUGCCAAACAACAGGUGGCAUCAUAAAAUCUUGCCGUUUAUAGAACUUAUAAAUAGUAACCUUAUCCUCCCCUCGAGUUCCUAUCAUACUCUUUGAAGCUCCAUUCCCCCCUCUCGCUGCAUUCUAUACAAUAAAGGCAGAACUUGAGUGUCCUCAUGCAAUAAUACUAGUAGAGUUGAAAAAAUACUGGAAAGGUAAGGACUACAUACAACAUGAUGGUGUAAACCACUCAAGUCCCAGAUUGCAGGGGAACACUCUAAAAUCACAUCACCACCUCUUCCACCUGUAUUAUUGAAUCCACAUGAACCAGAAUGCUACCAGAAAGACUAUUUCACAAAUUUUAAUGCACUUGCUCGUAAACACCAUGCAAUAAUCAGCUAAAUUUAUGAAGUUCAACGGAAAUAAUGACGAUGAAAGGGAAAAAAUUGAACCCAGUAUGAAGAUUGAGAAACUAGAUAAAUUAUGAUUAAAGAAAAAUAACCAUAAUAAUAUUGUAUCCACUUGGUUUUUAGUAUCACAUCUAGCAUACUUAAUGCUGUUAUAAAACUUGAUCUAAUAAACAUACCAUCAGGUCUGCCGGGGAUCAUGUUGACUUCGGCGAAAACUGGAGCAACCCUUUCCACCAUCACCUCCCUUAGCAUGUAGUGUAAACCUAUCUCUCAUUCUGGUUUCCUACAAAUAGCACCCUAAUAACCCUUUACUAAGAUGAACAAGUAGUAAAAAAAUCAAGAAAUGAUUACACAGAAUUAUGUGAAGCUAUUAGGGUUAUAAAAAUGUGAGAAAUAGGGAAGAAACAAAUAGAUUGGCAGACCUGCAAAGGGGCACACUUUGCUUUUGUGUGAGUAGCGUCUGAACAAGAGAACAAAGACAAAUAGAUCCAUGGAGAUUUAGAAGAUUUUCUCAAGGCAUCUAUGUGGCAAAAGGAUUUUGCGCAGCGUAACCGCAUAACUCUCUUUUUCCUGUCUAGAUAUCCUUCAAAUCCUCCUCAAAUGGAAAAAGUUCGCAUUCAAUUUUUUGCUUAUCUCUGCAACCUAUAGAAAGAAAUAUCUUAGAUACUGAUACAGCAACAGAGACAUUCCUGGAAAAUUGUAAACCAAACCAUGCCACAAUGCAGAUGCUGAACAUGACCCAUACAAGAUAACUAAAGAAAUUGAUAUUUACAGCACUUCACAGCCAGUUCCAACGAAAAGAAUCCGCCUUCCUUUAUUAUAACAUGUCCAGAUAAUCAUAAAAACAAAAUAAGUAUCACUUUUAACAAUCACAUUUACCAAAAUUUGCUAAAUUGUCAGUUGCAAGCAAAGUAAAAGCUUUAUUAAGCCCAACAACUUGUGCCAUAAACAGACCAACAACUGAAACAAUAUGCUAGAAAGGAAUUUGAGAUAACCAAAUAAAAGAUGAAAUAUUCAGGAAUGAGCACAUACAGGCAUCUAAAGGAAACAGACAUUCAAAACAUUCAUCAAAUCAAUAAUCAACAAGAAAAUUGAAUUUUAACAACAAAGAGAGUGGAGAAGGCUAAUAUGGUGUAUUUAACACAAAAUGAAAGAAACUAAAAGACCAAAUUGAUUGAACUUAUAUUCAUCUAAGACCCUUGAAUAAAACUUUCUUUCAGUUUACGGAAAAAAAAAAUUGUUUAGUGAUAAUGAAAACUAAUGGAGUCAAAGGAAAAUGUCCAUUGUUAAAAGAAUUGAACCCAUUCAUAGGAUUCCUCACCAGGCCUUGCAAGGAGUCUCCUUGGCCAUGGUUCUAACAUUAAUGACCAUUCUAAUGCCACCAAUGAGCUUUGGUUUGAUAUUAGGGUCAUCAGCUUGAACCAUUAAAAAAAAGGAACAAAGAAAUAACCAUUCUAAUGUUGUAGGGGGCCAGGGAUUUUAUGGUUACUGUUAGGAUCCCGUGUAGGAUGUAGUUGUGGGUUGUGUGACGAGUCUUUUGGCAAGAUAGGAGAAAACAAGGAUGGAUUUUCUUUUUGCGAUCUAUUUUGAAAAGCUGUCAGGCUUAUCAGGGAGAACAUGCAACCUCUUGAGUUUAAAGUACUCAAAGACCUUUUUGAAAUUUUUUUAGCUAACGUUUAUUAACCUGCUGUCAAUUUAAAUACAAGUUGGAGUUUUAACUCUCUCCUAAAAAAUAAGAACUUAAAAUAGCAUAAUAGAAGCUAACCUCGUACAAAUCAGAAUUUGAAAAUAACUAAAAAAAAUAUGGAAAUAACUAAAUAACUAAACAAAAUAUGCUGGUAACAUCAUAAGACCCAUGAUCUUAGCCACUAUCCAUUACUAUGCAUAAACUCAUAAUCUAUGCCACUAUCCAUUGUUGAAUAACUAUCCAUUAUUGCAUCAAUGACGAAGAAUCUAUUGGAAUGGUGGUUUGCUAACAUUAGUCCCCUCUUCCACUAUGCACUUGUCUUCAAGCGCAAGCUUAGGAAAUUUCUAGGAACUAUUUAGCCAGUGGCUGGUCUAUUGUGACAUCUCCUGGGUCAUCAUCUGCUAACUCCAACUAACUCCAACCAGAAUAGUUUUUUGCACCAGUUUUUGAAAUAUUCCCAUGUCAAGUUCGGAUAGUCUUGUAACAAUUGUAGGAACUAUAGUUGUGUUAUACCCUCCAAGUGAAAUGAAGCUAGAUUAACCUUCUUCUCUUUUGAAGUUUGUUAAUGUUGGAAAAAUUGAUCAUAUCUGUUGAGCCACCCUAAAGGAUCCUCCCGUCCAUUGAAACGGGUAAAUUUUGAAACAAUGGUACUUCUACUUGAAUUUUCAGAACCUAUUACUCCUUUGGCCUUUUGGGUGCGAGAGUGACUACCAAUUUUUGUGAGUUGUGCUGAAUUGACGAUAUCACAAGUGAGAGCUUCUAAUUUUUAAUUUAAUUCAUCAUGCCAGGCCUUAUUGGCGGCUUGCUCUUCUAAGAACAAGGUGAGAAUUCUGCCAAAUUGUUGCUGGAUAGAAUCCCCAUAAUCUCUAGCUCUGAUACCAAAUUGUUAGGAUCCCGUGUGUAGAAUCUAGUUAUAGGUUUGUAUAAUGAGUCUUUUAGCAAGAUAGGAGAAAGCAAGGAUAGAUUCUCUUUUUACAAUCUAUUUUGAAAAGUUGUCAAGCUCGUCUGAGAGAACCUGUAACCUCUUCAGUUUAAAGUACUAAAAGACUUUUUGAAAAUUUUUCUAACUGACGUUUAUUAAUAUGCUAUCAACUUCAAUACAAGUUGGAGUUUUAACUACAUCCUAACAAAUAGAAACUUAAAAUAGCACAAUGGAGACUAACCUCCUACAAAUCAGCAUUUGAAAAUAAAUAAACAAAACAUAGUGGUAACGUCAUAAAACCCGUGUUCUUAGCCACUACAUAUUACUAAUGCAUAAAUACAUAAUCUACGCCACUACCCACUACUGAAUAACUAUCCACUGAUGCAAACUACCCAUUGUUGCAUCAGUGACGAAGAAUCUGUUGAAUUGGUGGUUUGCUAAUAGUUACCUACUGAAAUUCAAGCAUUUUUUUAAUGGCACAACAAUAUUCUUCCACCUUCUUCGAAACGAAGGGAUGGAAAGGAAUUCAUCAGGAUGAUUGAAAGACAAUUAUCAACGUUGAUACAAUACUGAGAGAUACUUCUGGCUUGACUUUUAGCAGCUGAACAGCACACAAGAGACAGAAAUGUUGUCGUAUUAUUGUAAACAAGUUCAAUGCCGUCCCUGAAUCAAUUCCAGAUUGGGUAUUUGAUUUAUGACUAUGAAAGGUGGAUAUUUCAUUGCGAAUUAGCAAGAAUGGGUUUUAGAUGGUUUGCUUUCGAUAAUUGUGUUUGCCAUAUUAUCUUCACUUGGAACUCAAGAGUCAAUCCAUAGCCAAUACAGGUGAGCAGUGCUCAGUUCAGUCCAGACUAAAAAUGAGUAAAAAGCUGAAUCUAAUAGGAAAUAAAAUCAAACCGAACAAAGAGAAAAAAUGAUCUCAACUGGUUUAGUUUGGUUUGGUUCAUCUGUUUUACUUUUUCUUAUCUAUUUGCAGAACCCAUUUUCCUUUAGAAAAGGAAAAAAAUUAUACAAUACUCCCUGUACACUAAAAAUUAGUACUCAUCCUCAUAAAAAAUUAGUUAUUCCUAAAAUAAAAAAAGUGCCCUUAUACAAUUGUGCUUGUGCAGCUGGAGCUGCUAAUAAUCUCUCUUAGAGAAGAUCCAAGCAACAAGAGAGCAGCAAUUUCAGCUUUCAACUUAAACAUAGAAUAUUGUGUAUGUCUAGUUCUAACAAACAGAGCAUGUCAGAUACUAUAGUUGUACACAUAAACGGCAAUCCAUCUUGUCAUUUUGAUUACGAUAUUUGAAUUUUUACAAGGAAAACAAACAAAACACAACGAAAAUCAAAACCGAAACAGCAGAACCUCAGCUCAAUAUCGCACACAAGACUCGAAGCGCAAAGAAAACUUGAGAAAUGAUUCAGAAAAUUGAAAGAAAAUCUGGGUAGAGAAGUGAAGCAAAUGAGGGAAAGAGUGUUGACAUUUUAAAGAUGCUACAAAGGAAUUGAGUGAAACCAGGAACAGCAAAGGGUAAUGAUCGAUGAAACAACUGAACUUGGAGAGCCACAGACAGAAAAUAUGAACACUGGAGCUGCUUGUGUCGUUGAUGGAGGUAGUCGAGUUCAGAGGCCGUACAAGUGGUCCUUCGAGAGAAGAUAUUGAGAAAGGGAAGGAGAAUUGUUUGAUUAUAUAUUCUCACUUCGUCACCAAGAAAAACAAACUAUCAGUAUAUAGAAAUGUAAGUUUGUUUCAUCAUCUAUCAAAGCAAAUCAAAGUAAAAGUACCUUUCUUUGGAGAAAGUAAUUGGAACAUAAAUAGACAUCUAAAACUCAGUUUUAUUUCCAUAUCCUCAGAAACCGGCUCAUCUAAUUAAUUCACUUAAACAAUUAAACAAACCCCUAAUAUAUUUAGAAGAAGAGAAAGACAAAGAAACCUCAAGCGCGCGUUUGUUCAAUUUGAGCUUCCUCAAGCUGUUAAUGGCGUGAAAAAUGUCACCUCGAUAAAUUGGAAAGCCUUCGCGCAUCCAGCUUUGAUAGGCUAAACCAACCGAUUCUCCUCUAGCAAGCUUCUCAAUUCUCAAAGAUAAGCUCUUGGGUGCUUCUUGUUCUUCUGGUUCUAAUAUCUUCUUCUCGGGCGAACAAUUGCUAGUGUAGGUACAGAGAAAAUCGAAAUUGCGAGGAAUUUGGUAGAGAGGCGGACAACUGAUAGAAAGUGUUCGAUGAAUUGCUUGACAGAACCAGCGUCGGCCCAGAACGGCCAGCGCACGCAUGCUUCUUGUCCUUUUCGGGACCUGAAAGCGCGCUUACGCAAAAGAGCCAGAGAUCUUAUUUGAAAAAAGAUGCCGCCACAUGCAAAUGCUAAGAGCCCAAAGUCUUGCCCAGAAGAGAAACCAAAAUUGACGCUUAGCUGCCUACAAUCCAGCCCAGAAGAGAAACCGAAAUUGAAGCUUAGCUGCCUACAAUCCAGCCCAAGUCCUUUUCUGGGAUAUUUUGUCCACGCCAUUAAUAUUUAUAUAAAUUAUUGAAAAUUAAUAUAUGGAUGCAAAGUUCAAUGGAAAUUUGGAAUUGCAUUCUGCUCCCUAAAUUUCAUUGUGGAUAGACAAUUUUUAUUUAUCCAUGAAUCACAAAUGGGUUUGAUAUUUAUUCUCAAAUUUCUUAACAUUUAAAUAUCAAAUUUGAGAUACUAUAAGCACUAAUUAUCUUGUUUUUUUUCUUUGUGAUAGUGAUGAAGAAUAAUAAUGCAAUCAAAACAGAAUCGUAUGCCAUCUUUUCCUUUUUGUAUGGACGUAAACCACAGAAAAUCAUUUUUUAUAUUGUUUCUCCAAGUCCUUUUAUUUAUUACAUUUCAGGUAAUUAAUUAGAAAAAUAUCAUCAAUGAAAUUUAAACUCUAAAAUUUUAAUUAUCAUCAUUGAUUAAACUCUAUUUGACAAUACUAAUUGAUAUAAUAAUUGUUAUUGUCAAUAUAAUUAUUUAGAUAAUAGUUAAUCAAAUAUUAGAAUAAAUAAAUUUUCACAAUUCAGUUUCUUAAUCACUGAUUAUUAAAUAUUAUUUUGAAAAUUAUCACCGAGCAAACGCUUGGAGUUGUACAAUGUGGUGUGUAGGAUACAUGAUUGGUUUUGUAAUUAAUCAACUCAACAAGGGAAGAUAAACUAAUGGGUAAAAAGGUCAUCAUUAAUUCCAAGAUUGCCCUCUGCUGAACAAAGCCAAAGAAUAAAAAUAUAAAAAAGUAGGUUGAUGUAAUGUAAAGUGGAAAAGAAAUUGCAUCGCUUUGUAAUCAAGAUUACAAUGACAAAGAAAAAUGAAUUAGUGGCCACAUUGGAUUAGUAGAAUUUAGGUCAAAUCUAAUUAAUGGCCAACUAAUUUUUUUUUAAAAAAAAAAAAAAAUCAAGAACCCUUGCCAAAAAAGCUUUCUGUAGUAGUCCUUCAUGAUUGCUCUUUUUAUAGGUUCAUGUUGCCCCCUUUCCCCAACUCAGUCCAAAAUUUUCUGCUCCUGUAGUUCAACCUAAAAUUUCUAUUUAUCCACCCUUUUUUUCAUUCAUUUAUUUUAAUACUCUAUUUUUUUUCGUUUCUCAUUUUAUUUAAUAAUUAUAAUUGAGAAUUUCAUUUAUGGGAUUUAUUGAUAAAAAAAUUUAAUAAAAACUUUUUAACUUGUAUGUUUUUUGGGUAAUGUUGUGCCUGUGCGAAUUGUGAAUUUAACUUUUCAUGAAAUUUUAUGUUAUUACAUUCUGUGGCUAUGUGUGCAUGUUAUUAAUAAACUUUAUAUAAAAAUUAAGAAAAUAAAUUAAUUUCAAGUUUCAACUUCAAUACAAAGUGAUAUUGAAAGUGAUAAUCGAUCAUUCAUCAGGAAAGGAAAAAGGAAUUUAUCCGUUAACAUUAAUAUCUGGCUCUAUAUAUCAUCGUGAAUUAAUAUGUAGGCAAUGAUUUGGAUUUGUUUAUCUAGUUUGAUAAUAUAUAUAUCUUGCAAAUAAAAAAAAAUCCCUGUGAACUACUUCCAAAAUUUAAACUCUAGAUAGGAGUAAAUGCAGUGCCAACUUAACUGAUUUUGGAGUGUUUGAAAUAUUGGGUAAAACAAUAAAACCUGAAUCGUGUUGAACACUGUCUUUAAAGAUUUAUUUUAUGAUCCCCCAGGAUUAAACAAGUUCUUCUGAAAUAUACUUCUCAGGAUUAGAACAACAAGAAUUUAUCUCGAAUUUAUAACCCAGCAGGUAACAUAGAGAAAAUAAAUAAUAAAGAAGAAAAUUGGGAGUUUAUAUCUUUGUAAAGAGGAACACUAUUUAUUGUGGAAAACUUGACCGCUAUAUAUGGUUAUAAGAAUCUUGAAAUAAAAUCAUAACGGUUAUAUUUAAUAUUAUAUUUAAAUCUCAUAAAUAAAAUAUUUAAUGACCAUAAAAUCUUUAAUUACCAUAAAAUAUUUAACGACCAUAAAAUCUUUAAUUACCAUAAAAUCUCUAAUGACUAUAAAAUCUUUAAUAACUAUAAAAUCUUUUUGAAAUCUAAACUAAUUUUACAACAAUCCCCCACAGAUUUCAAAAGAUUUUCAUUGCUGGAUUUAGAAAUUUAGAGUGUAUGUUUCGAAUCUGGUGUCUUUUAUACUAUGAACCAGACCUAAAUUAAUAAUACUUAAUAUACAGAGUAAUUGGUGAAACUUUUGUUUCUAUGUACCAAAACUCUUUUUUAUAUGUUAAUUUCUCAUCAAUCUCAUAAUACUCCACAGAUCUUGUUGUCAACGCCGUUUUGCACUAAUAGGCCAUGCGCGCGCCUGGUAAUUCAUAAGUGCUCUAGAGAUUAUGCCACAAUCUCAUAGAAGCGGCCCCACUCCACACUUAUAUAGGUGAUAUCAUCAAGUGUAUACUGCAAUUUAUACACCACCCACAAGGGAUAUGAAUAUCAUUAAAAGAUUUCAUCUCAUCCUCUCAUUAAUGCAGUCUAGUACUUCUCACACCAUAGAAAGGGACAACAAUAAAUAGUGCUAUCAGAAUUAGAAGGUGAUUUGUUAUUACCCAUAUGAACCUUUUUCAUGGGAUCUCUAAUCGCAAAGGUUGGGUUACCAUCACUGUUAAUUUCAAACUGGCUUAGGUCCCAUUCCUCUCGAUGUUUCAUCUAUUAGUUUUCUCUCUAAAGAUUUAGUCAGAGAAUUGGCCAAAUUCACUUCUGACUUCACAUAAUCAAUGAAAAUAGUUCCAUCUUUCAGUAACUGCUUAACAACAUUAUGUCUCAGACGAAUAUGUUUAUUCUUACCAUUGAAAGUUUUAUUCUUUGCAAUGGCUAUUGCCGCUUGACAAUCACAACGCAUUGAUAUAGAUGGUGUUGAUAAAAAAUUCACUAAAUGCAACAAACUCCCAAUGAUCUAUGCAUAUUCAGACUCCAAUUUUCUUUAAUUGACAAUUAGGAUCAUAAGGGGUAGUUACUGGUUUAACAUUGAAAUGUCCAAACUUCCUUAGAAGCUUCUCAACAUAAUGCUCUUAUGAUAGCAUUGGACUAUCAUUCUUCCUUACGAUUCUAACUCUCAAAAUCACAUUUGUCUAUCCCACAUCUUUCAUAUCAAAUUUAGAGGCAAUGAAAGUUUUUGAUUUACAACUAUAUCAUAAUUUGUACCAAAAGUAAAUGCAUAUGAACAAAUAAUCACAGAUUCAUAAUUUAUACGUUCUGUAUAUACGCACUUAUCAAUCAUUUAUACAUUUUGUAUAUACACACUUAUCAACUUCAACAGAGAUAAAACCAUCAUUCAACAAAACUUAAUCAAAUUUCUCAUGCCACUGUUUGGAAACUUGUUUUAAACCAUAUAAUGAUCUAAGAAGUUUGCAGACUUUAUUUUCUUAACAAAAAAUAAUACAAUCAUUAGGUUGAACCAUAUAAAUUUCUUCUUCCAAGUCUCCAUUUAAAAAUGUUUUAACAUCCAUUUGAUAAAUAACAAGUUUAUGCUUAAAACCUAAAGCAAUUAAUACUUUAAUAGAAGAGAUUAUGUUUCAGGAAGUUAAAACAAGUGUAUGUAUAGAAGCUAAAGCAAACUUAUGAACUUGAGUUUAUAGGUUUCAGCAUAACUUAUAAACAUGCAAUCAAAAGUUUUUGAACAUAUUUUUCAUUUCUUAGGAUCAGGAAGAAUUGCUUUAGCAAGACACCCCCACACUUUUAAAUAUUUUAAAUUAGGUGUAUAACCUUUCUAAAGUUCAUAGGGUAUUUUAUCGGUUUUCUUAUAGGGUAUCAUAGUUUGUAGAUAACAAGCAGAUAAUAAAACUUCCCCCAAAAGUUAUUAGGUGAAGAAUAACUUAUUAAUAAAACAUUCAUCAUUUCUUUUAAUAUUCUAAUUUUUCUUUCCACUACUCCAUUGGAUUCAAGUGAAUAGGGUGGAAUAAAUUCAUAUAUGUUUCAGGAAGCUAAAACAAGUGUAUGUAUAGAAGCUAAAGCAAACUUAUGAACUUGAGUUUAUAGGUUUCAGCAUAACUUAUAAACAUGCAAUCAAAAGUUUUUGAACAUAUUUUUCAUUUCUUAGGAUCAUGAAGAAUUGCUUUAGCAAGACACCCUCACACUUUUAAAUAUUUUAAAUUAGGUGUAUAACCUUUCUAAAGUUCAUAGGGUAUUUUAUCGGUUUUCUUAUAGGGUAUCAUAUUUUGUAGAUAACAAGCAGAUAAUAAAGCUUCCCCCAAAAGUUAUUAGGUGAAGAAUAACUUAUUAAUAAAGCAUUCAUCAUUUCUUUUAAUAUUCUAAUUUUUCUUUCCGCUACUCCAUUGGAUUCAAGUGAAUAGAGUGGAAUAAAUUCAUAAAUUAUUCCUUCUUUUUUCACAAAAGUCAUUAAAUAAGAUACAUUCUCCACCUCUAUAUGAUUUUUUUUUAAAUUUUAAUUUUCCUCUUUAAUUGAUUCUCUACUCCAACUUUACACAAUUGAAAUAUAUCAAAUGCUUCGUCUUUGUUUCUGAGCAAAUAUACUUUAGUAUAUCUAGAAUAGUCAUCAAUAAAAGUUACAUAAUAUAUAUAUAUAUUUUUUAUUAAUAUAAGAAGCACUAACAUGUCCUAAUCUAACAUGCCAUAAAUCAAAAGAAUCAAGCAAAAAAGCACAAGAUGAUGUAUUUCCAUUUAUUAUUGCAAAAAUAUUGAGAAUAAAGAGUCUCUGAUUACAAUAACAUUUUUCAAUAAAAAUAUCAUUUUUAGUCAGUAUAAUUUUGUCUAACUCAAAGGACACCUUAAUCUCAUCAUUUCUCAAUAGUGUUACAGAAAUUAAAUUAGCUCUCAUAUUGGAUACAUGAAGUACCUCAUUAAGUGCCAAUGUCUUGUCAGAUGUGAGUUUGAGAAAAACUUUCCCUUUACUAAGGACACUUGCAGUCCUAGACUCACCCAAAUACACAUGUUCUUUUCCUUCCCCCACUAUAAAGUAGGAGGUAAAUGCAUUUCUGUUUGUACAAAUAUGCCUAGUAGCACCAAAAUCUACUACCCAUUCUAGCACAUUAGCUACAAGAAAAGUUUGAGAAAUAACCGCAGCAACAAUGUCAUCUCCUUCAACUAAAUUCAUUUUUGGUUUAGGAGGAUUGUCAUUUAUCACUCUUUUCCUUUUAAAGAUGAGAUUAUUAAACUUGAGUUUAUAAUCAGAUUUCUUGUUUUCAUACCUGUUAUUUGAUUUGUGCACUUUUUCUUUGUACAAGAUUUGCUCUUGUAGCCAACAUCCUUAGCAGUAUAUUUCAAGUUCAUUGAAUCUCAUAUUUUUUCAUUGAAUCCCAUAUUUCAUUGAAUCUCAUAUUUUCUUGGCUUCCUUGUAGGAACAGUAGUUAUCAAAGAAAUGGUUAAAAAGAGUACUGAUAAUUGUAUACCUACAUACCUUAUUAGAAUAGACCCAUAUUUCAUGCAAUUUUGGAUCAACAGCAGGUACAUGUCUUGAUUCUCAAUUUUUGAGAUGUGAGGACAGUAGACAGAAGAGACCCACCAUUUGCAAAAGUAAGAAGCGUGGCGGCGGAAAGAACAACAGAAGUAGUGGUAGUUAUAAUGUCAUUGGAGUAGGCAGUGCAGAAGCAAAGGCAGUGACAACAUUUGAUUCCAUUUGUGUAAAGAUAAAUCCUUAAGAUUGUUGAAAAUAUUGGAUAAAACAAUAAAACCUGAGUCGUGUUGAACACUGUCCUUAAGAAUUUAUUUUGUAAUCCCCAAAAUUAAACAGGUUUUUCUGAAAUAUACUUUCCAAGAAUCAAGACAACAAAAAUUUAUCUGAUUUAUAAUCUAGCAGGUAACACAGAAAAAAAAAAUAAUAAAAAAAAAUUGAGAGUUUAUAUAUUUGUAAAGACGAAAAUUAUUUAUUAUGAAAAUUUAACCGCUAUAUAUGAUUAUAAAUAUUUUAAAAUAAAAUCAUAACGGUCAUAUUUAAUAUUAUAUUUAAAUUUCAUAAAUAAAAUAUUUAAUGAUAAUAAAAUUUUUAAUGAAUAUAAAAUAUUCAACAAUUAUAAAAUUUUUAAUUAUCUUAAAAUUUUGGACUAUCAUAAAAUCUUCUAAACUAAUUUGUUACUUCACGAGUUGGUAGACCAAAUCUAGAUUGUUUUUCAGUAGGUGUUUGGGAGACGUCAUCAUCACCUGCCUCCGGGGUUUCAAACUCAAGAUUGACAAAUAAACAGAGGUUUGCGCUUUUUUUGGGACUCAACCUAACAUGGGGAAGGGAGGAAAAUAGAAACCUGAUUAUCGGGGAUUCCACGCACUCUUCCGGUCAGUGGUAGGCAAGUUAGUUUAGAUGAAAUCAUAAUAAAAUCUUUAUCAUCAAAUCAAUAGCAUAAGUAGUUAUGAAACUCAACAAAUUGAAGUCGAUUAUAACAGAUAAUUAUAGAAAAGAACGAAAGAGGAGGUGGGAAAAGUAGAUCAUAUUUAAGUUAAAAGGAGUUAUAACCAUAGACAACAACACUAAUCGAGUUCCCCUUCCAAAAGUACACAGAAGACCAAGUUAAGACCAGCAAAGCAGAAACACUUAACACAUAAAACAAGCCAUUCAGGAAAUUAAAUCCUCAUACAAGGAUUUUGAUUACCUAUGGCUGUUUUAUUUACAGCAGCAAGCCGACAACUAUUUUACAUAUUCAUUAACAAACCCUUUUGCAUCCGUUUUUUUGGGGAUUUAUUAAAAACAUCAAGUACAGGCUUUGCUAGGUCCAUGUCCAUGCUGCUUUCUCAUUUGCAGUUGCAUGGAUCACAGCUGCAGCUUGAUCCACACUUGCACCCAUUUCCACUCUCAGCACCAAAGUUCAUCUCAGUACCCUCAUAGGACCUGCAAAAACCACACUAGCUCUCAAUUCUUUGUACAAUCAAGAAUCUAACUUCGAUUUAGCUGCGCAAAUAGAAUUAUAGAAUUUCUCCGAACUCAAUUAAGGUCUCAAAUUCAAACCCAAAAUGAUUGUGAGUCUUACAUCUUAGGAGGUGCAACUCCUGCGAUGAGAGUCUCAGUUCUGGUGUUCUCUGAGAUGUCAGGGUACAUGCCACAGCUGCAAGAAUUCAAGAAGAUGAGGAAAGAAAGAUUGGAGAGAAAAUCUUAGGAAGUUUGUUUGGUGUAUGAGAAACAAUUUUCCAAGAAAAAGAAACUCUUACCCGUUGCAGCCGCUGCCGCACUUGCAUCCAGAGCCACAGCCACAGUUUCCUCCGCAGCAAGACAUUUUCUUAGGGAUUUGGAAGAGGCUUAUCACUUGGCAAUUGAUUUC
rnacentral:lncRNA from 1 species